rnacentral:misc_RNA from 1 species
UGUAGGAGCGGGCUUGCUCGCGAUUGGAGCGGCGCGGUUUGACUCUCUGACCGCGUCGCCUGCAUCGCGAGCAAGCCCGCUCCCACA